rnacentral:lncRNA from 1 species
UUUUUAUUUCAAAAUCAUCUUAUAUCAUAUUUAAGAUGUGCGAAACGAUAUUAAUAAAAGAAGAUUGAGCCUUGUAAUAUUUCUUCAUGGUAUCAGAAUAAGAGAUUCUGAAUUCGAAUCAUGCUAUACUUUUAUUAUUAUUAAUUUUCUCUCAUUUAAUUUAAGUCAACGUCAAAGCUUUGCAAAAAAUCUCAAGUCCAAACUUAAGGGAAAGUGUUAAAUAUAAAAAUAUAUAAACACCGUUCUCUAACAGCUUAAACUUUUAGAGUACAAUGGUUAUUUUACAGAUCUGAACAAAAUGCCAAUUGUUGUGGUAUGU